CAUUAAGAAGCUAUGAACCAGCACUAGCCUUUUAAGCUAGAGAUAGAGGCCGCACAUCCUCCUUAAUGU
rnacentral:tRNA from 1 species